GGACGUUUAGCUCAGUUGGUAGAGCAACGGACUCUUAAUCCGUGGGUCGCGGGUUCGAACCCCUCAACGUCCA
rnacentral:tRNA from 1 species